GAAAUGCGAUAAUUAAUGUGAAUUGCAGAAUUCAGUGAAUCAUCGAGUCUUUGAACGCACAUUGCGCCCCCUGGUAUUCCGGGGGGCAUGCCUGUCCGAGCGUCAUUGCUGCCCUCAAGCACGGCUUGUGUGUUGGGCUUCCGUCCCUGGCAACGGGGACGGGCCCAAAAGGCAGUGGCGGCACCAUGUCUGGUCCUCGAACGUAUGGGGCUUUGUCACCCGCUCCCGUAGGUCCAGCUGGCAGCUAGCCUCGCAACCAAUCUUUUUAACCAGAUUGACCUCGGAUCAGGUAGGGAUACCCGCUGAACUUAAGC
rnacentral:misc_RNA from 1 species